UACAGAGGGGGCGAGCGUUGUUCGGAAUUACUGGGCGUAAAGCGUGCGCAGGCGGUUUUGUAAGCCAGAUGUGAAAUCCCCGGGCUUAACCUGGGAAUGGCAUUUGGGACUGCAAGGCUCGAGUGCGGCAGAGGAGACUGGAAUUCCUGGUGUAGCAGUGAAAUGCGUAGAUAUCAGGAGGAACACCGAUGGCGAAGGCAGGUCUCUGGGCUGACACUGACGCUCAUGCACGAAAGCGUGGGGAGCAAACAGG
rnacentral:rRNA from 1 species